UACGUAGGGUGCGAGCGUUAAUCGGAAUUACUGGGCGUAAAGCGUGCGCAGGUGGUCAUGCAAGACAGAUGUGAAAUCCCCGGGCUUAACCUGGGAACUGCAUUUGUGACUGCACGGCUAGAGUGCGGCAGAGGGGGAUGGAAUUCCGCGUGUAGCAGUGAAAUGCGUAGAUAUGCGGAGGAACACCGAUGGCGAAGGCGAUCCCCUGGGCCUGCACUGACGCUCAUGCGCGAAAGCGUGGGGAGCAAACAGG
rnacentral:rRNA from 1 species